AACUUCACUCUUCCCCGUAGAAACACCUCCUUCCCACCAAAUCAGCAUCGUUACCUGCCAUCAUCCGAGGCGCCGGGAUUUCACAGCCGGGAGGGAAAACCCAGCUGCUCAAGUUUAGGACUCCAUCCUCGCCUUCUUUUCCUCCCCAAACCAAAGCCGCCGCCACCACCGAGUGGUGACCGAGUGGGUCACCAAACUUCCCCGAGCAGGGAGCUCUCCCCUUCUACAGGAACCGAGCCAGUGUCGUCAUCCCUCGCAAGCCCCAGCCCUGCCCUUCCCCGCCUGGCGCCGUGCAAGGAGAACUUCACCUUCCCCGCGCCCGCCGCAGCGGCAGCCCCGGAGCAGCGGGAGGUGGACGGCCCGCACCCAGCGGGUCCUCGGGGGUCGUCCCCCGGCCCGACCCCCUCGGCUCGACCCCAGCACGGGCAGCGCUGCCGGCGCAGCGGCAGCAGCGGCUUCCCCCGCCAGGACCCAUCGCCCGCCAUUGCCCAACGGCUCCGACGGGGAUCCCAACCCAGCUCGAGCCUCUCCCUGGGGCGCGGAACGGGCCUCACCUGCAACGCCAGGACCUGCCCGUCGCCAGUGCCCGGCGGGAGUGGGGGUGACGAGAUGGCGAGAGCGCGGCGGAACCGACCGGACCCCUGCGCUCCGACCGCCGCCCCCGCCCGCCCCCUGGCGCCCGCCCAGCCGUUCUCCCAUUGGCUGAGAGCCCGAGCAAGCUCCCGCUCCGCAGCCGCCUAUUGGCUCCCCGAGACUGCCAAUCAACGCCACUUCCUCGUCGGAGGCAGUGAGGGGUGGUGCGCGCGCCCGUGGCCGGCGCGCGCUCCCCGGCGGUGGUCGGGGACUGCUAGAGCCACGCGCGUGGUACCGCGUCCCCGGACCCUACCCGAGCUCACCCUGGGGGGCUCCGACCGCCACCGGACCCGGCCUGGGCUGGGCUCUCCCCGGGGGCAGCGGCUGCCCGGCCCGUUCGGCCGCAGCGUUAGCCAGAUAUCCGAGUGUAUGAAACCGUGGCAGGAGCACGGCGGAACGUGGCACGGCGCGGCGGGAGUAACACUGCUUUCGUGUCCCUUUUCCACUGCGGGGCACCGUGAACAAGCAAAUGUCAUUUCCCGAAGCGAAAUGUGA
rnacentral:lncRNA from 1 species